CACAGGUCACAGAUCAGUGACUUACUAUAUGCACCAUGUCCUGGGCUGUUCUCUUCAUUCUUACCUUGUAUUACUCAUGUAAGAUAAUGAGAACCUGCAUAGACAGCUCACAGUAGGUGCACUGUAACUUUCUAAUGAUUGGUAAUAUAUCAUUAUCUUUUUCAGGUUCUGCGGCUCAGUUUGUGGUGACUCAGGAAGCUGCAAUAUCUGGGUCUAUUGGUAAUGAUGCCCGUCUGACCUGUGGGCGCAGUGGAGGCUCAGUGACCGGGGGUAACUACCCAUCAUGGUACCAUCAGACACCCGGGGGUGUCCCUAAACUUGUAGUUGGCAGUUAUGGUACAAGCAACCAAAACUAUAGACCCUCAUGGACCUCAGAUCGGUUCACUGGAUCUAUAUCAGGGGGUUUGGCUGUCCUGUCCAUUAGCAGAGUGCAGGCUGAUGAUGAUGGAGACUAUCACUGUGCUCUCUAUGCUGGUAGUGGUAUACGCACAGUG